rnacentral:rRNA from 1 species
UACAGAGGUCCCAAGCGUUGUUCGGAUUCACUGGGCGUAAAGGGUGCGUAGGCGGUCGGGUAAGUCUGAUGUGAAAUCUCACAGCUUAACUGUGAAACUGCGCUGGAUACUCUCCGGCUAGAGGAAUGGAGGGGAGACUGGAAUACUUGGUGUAGCAGUGAAAUGCGUAGAUAUCAAGUGGAACACCAGUGGCGAAGGCGAGUCUCUGGACAUUUCCUGACGCUGAGGCACGAAAGCCAGGGGAGCAAACGGG